AAUUUAUUAGUUUAUUAAAAACAUUACAUUUUCAAUGUAAAAAUAAAUAUUUUAUUUAUAAAUUA
rnacentral:tRNA from 1 species